rnacentral:rRNA from 1 species
GGGGCGAGCGUUGUCCGGAUUUAUUGGGCGUAAAGGGCGUGUAGGCGGCCUGGUAAGUCGGGGGUGAAAACUCAGGGCUCAACCCUGAGACUGCCUUCGAUACUGUCGGGCUCGAGUGCUCUAGAGGGUAGUGGAAUUGCCGGUGUAGCAGUGAAAUGCGUAGAGAUCGGCAGGAACACCAGUGGCGAAGGCGACUGCCUGGGGAGUAACUGACGCUGAGGCGCGAAAGCUGGGGGAGCAAACGGGAUUAGAUACCCCGGUAGUCCCAGCCGUAAACGAUGAGUGCUAGGUGUGAGGGGUAUCGACCCCCCUCGUGCCGCAACAAACGCAAUAAGCACUCCGCCUGGGGAGUACGGCCGCAAGGUUGAAACUCAAAGGAAUUGACGGA